CACUAAUCUCUCAGAGUACCUGGGGCUGGAUGUUUCUAGAAUCCUAAUUUUAGUUUGUUUUCUUUUGGCUCAUAAGCCAAAGCUGACACCCCUUUAGGCAGGUCUUAGAAUCCUGUGCAAUCACAUCUUCACCAACACCAACAACACACUGACCUUCAGGCUAAUGGCAACCCCAGCAGCUGAAGGCAGCCCUCAAUUGCCAGUGUCCUCUGCUUCCAAGCUGAUUCUUUAGGCUCAAUGUUUCAAGGGAAAACAGACCAAAAAAUAAUGGCCUGUGAAUGGCCUGUUAAGAUGAGCAAGAUUGUGAGAUCAUGGAACUCAACACAGGCAGGGGAGACAACUUCCAAAACAGCAGGAGUGGAAUCCAAAAAGUUAUCAACAUUAAGAGUUACAGAGGCAAUCACUUCUGAAGACUCCAACUUCAGAAUAACAUUAAGAUGA
rnacentral:lncRNA from 1 species